AGAUAGUAAUAUGGCCAAGGUGCAUGCAGAAGAUUCCACAGGAAACGAUAUUGAAAUGGAGAAUGCAGACACAAAGAUAGAGAAUUAUGAAACCGAUAUUCCCUCAGGAGAUGUUGCAAAAGAUGAAGAAAAAGAAAAGUUUCAAGCAGUUCUCAAAGAAUUGGCAAUAGACAC